CACAUUUCUUUCCUGUCCUCGCUUCACUUCAAAUUUCUCUGUUCUGUUCCUUAUUCGUACAUUGUCCUCCAUGACAGGGAUGUAGAGCAGUCAUGCAGUAGCAGGUGGUUUUACCAUUGUAUCUCAUUAGGUUUGGAUUCUGUUCUUGACAGGUAGCAGUACUGUGGAACAGUCAGGCUGACAUGUUCCAGUCCUAUAGACUGGAGAAUAUAGCCUAUACGUUGUCCAGUUGCAUUAAUUUUACUUGUCUAUUUCCAUUCAGGGUCACAUGCUGUACUCUACAGCCAAAUUUGGCUGUCAGCUGCCUAGUACUGAUCUUAAUUUUUCUAGAAGUUUCAAAAUGAGGCUCCUUCCUGCAGCUUCACUUUCAAAACAACUCUCGGAAAACCAGCAGAAUUCCACAUGCAGAGCACACCUGCAACCACUGGGAAAACACACUCAGGAAUUUCAAUCUUGAUCUGAUUAUGGUUUAUAGAGGUGCCAACUACUCUCCGAGGAACGCUAGUAAAUAUCCUUUUAUCUGCUCUAGUGCAUUUAUCCUUAAGAGUUAUGACUUAUCUUCAUGUGGAACUCAAAGAUGGAUACACUCCUAACAAUAUGGCUUCUGGCUAUGAAACCCAGGUGAUGACAAGACGCACAGACUUAAAUAUUCCACAGCAAUGAUCAGUAUAGUCAUCAGUGUGAUGCGGUUCUCAGUUAAGGAGAGAUUCUGCACUGUCCCACAACCCAUUUUUCUUUUCUUUUCUUUUCUUUUUUUUUUUACAACUGCUGUAAAUUGAUGAUGAAUGUUGUUAGCAGCCAGGUGUGGAGGUUUCGUAGUUGGACCUGGCAAUGCGGAAGUACUGAAAACUUCAACAAUCUUUUUGAACCACUGGGGCUCUCUACAAGAAAUACGAAAAGACAGUUCCCCCACUCAGUGUCUCACAACCCACUCAAUUCCCUCUUACAUCGUGCCGAACCCCUCCAUCCAUUCAUCGAUCCGCCAACCAACCUUCAUUCCUCUGACCUUCAUUCCUUUGACCUUCAUUCAUCCGACCUUCAUUCCUCCGACCUCCAUCCAUCCCUCAUCCCUCAAACCUACCUCCAUCCCUCAUCCCUCGAACCUACCUUCAUCCCUCGAACCUACCUCCAUCCCUCAUCACUUCAUCCCUAAUCCCUUCACCCCUCAUCCCUCAGUAAACCACAUUGCUUCACAUUUGUUCAUUAUGUGCAAUAAACUUUUCUUAUUUCA
rnacentral:lncRNA from 1 species